rnacentral:tRNA from 2 species
CGGAGUGUAGCUCAGCCUGGCAGAGCACCGUCUUCGGGAGGCGGGGGUCGGUGGUUCAAAUCCACUCACUCCGACCA